GCUUGUCUCAAAGAUUAAGCCAUGCAUGUCUCAGUAUAAGCUUGUGCAUAGUGAAACUGCGAACGGCUCAUUAUAACAGUUAUAAUUUGUUUGGUGUUCAAGUUUACAUGGGUAACUGUGGCAAUUCUAGAGCUAAUACAUGCAGCAGAGCUCCGACCUUCGGGGACGAGCGCUUUUAUUAGACCAAAACCGAUCGAGGCUUCUUGCUUCGUUUCCGUGGUGACUCUGUAUAACUUUGGGCUGAUCGCACGGUCUUAGUGCCGGCGACGUAUCUUUCAAGUGUCUGCCUUAUCAACUGUCGAUGGUAGGUUACGCGCCUACCAUGGUCGUAACGGGUAACGGGGGAUCAGGGUUCGAUUCCGGAGAGGGAGCCUGAGAAACGGCUACCACAUCCAAGGAAGGCAGCAGG
rnacentral:rRNA from 1 species